UAGUUUCAGCAAAAUCCUAGUGAUUCCACCA
rnacentral:piRNA from 1 species